CUAUUGUUAAUUUGGUGAACCCCAUGGCAGUGCGCCUUCACCUGCCUAGAACCCUAAGCGUCUGUCCCACUUUUCAUGUGUCCCGGGUCAAGCCUGUGUCCACGUCCCGUCAUGAUGCCUGGCCGACAUCCUGGCUGCUGGGGUUUUAAGUUACUAUCAAACCAUGUGUCCAAGGCCUCAGUGUGGCAUCUGAAAUCUGCUAAGAUACUUGGGGAACAUGCAAUUUGUAAAUCAAGCUUCAAAGCACUGUGGAACCAGCUUCUCACAGAUCUCUGCUGGCAGUGCCAACAGAAUAACGACCAGCUCCUAACCUAAGCCCAAACCUUCCAGGGGAAAAGAAGUAAAAAAACAACAGGAUCUUCUUGACCUUGUGUAAAAAGAGAGGGCUGUAUACAAUAAGAAGACCGCUGCCUGCAGAAAGACCUGCAUGGACUCUCAGUUGUCAUUUAGUCCCUCCCCAUCAGUGAGCAAGAAGAUCAAGAUGUACGACAGCUUGGAUAUUGCACAGCAGAUGCACUUUCCCUCAAAUCCUCUUCAGCCUGGACCAAUAUGCACACAAGCUUCAAUCAACCCUUAGUAUAUACUUUCUGAUUGCUGGUCACACCAAAUUUACUCCUGACUUUGGUUUUGAAAUGAUCAAACGACCAGAGUUAACACCGUGAGGCUGUGGAAAAUAGCUUUCCUGAGAGCCGCCUCAACAUUCCACAGCUGGUUGGAGCGGCAGAUGGCAGGGUGAUAAUCAGGACUCAUUGGCAGUCACACCUGGAAUUACAUUACUUCCGAAAGCUCCCACAGAUUAAAAGUUAUCAGCACUUCUGCUUUGAUGCCAACAGACCUGGAAUGGUGCUCGCUAGAACUCACAGGCUCCUUUCCCACUAAAGACGAAGCGGUGCCGGCUUGGUGUUGGAGCUAGAACCAUCAGCUUCAAUGAAGUGUUUUAACCUUGAGGAGCAAUAACUGUGUGGCAUAUUGU